AGGACGAACGCUGGCGGCGUGCUUAACACAUGCAAGUCGAGCGAGGCCCUUCCUUCGGGAAGGUGCCCUAGCGGCGAACGGGUGAGUAACACGUGGGCAACCUGCCCCUAGCACUGGGAUAAGCCCGGGAAACCGGGUCUAAUACCGGAUAUGACCUUCGAGGGCAUCCUUGAAGGUGUAAAGGAUUCUGGCUAGGGAUGGGCCCGCGGCCUAUCAGCUUGUUGGUGGGGUAAUGGCCUACCAAGGCGACGACGGGU
rnacentral:rRNA from 1 species